rnacentral:misc_RNA from 1 species
UAGGAAAGUCAUAAAUAUAUAAAUUAUAUUAUAUAAUUAAUAUAAUAAUAAAAUAAAUUAUAUAUUUUAUUUAUAAUAUUAUUUCUUUAUAAGAUAAAUAUUAUCUAAUUAAUAAUUAGAUUGAAUAAUAUUUAUAAAGAAAUAUAUAUAUAUAUAUAAAGUCAUUAUAUAAAUUAAAUUAUAAUUUAAAUAAAUUUUAUAUAAAUUAAUAUAAUAUUAAUAAAGUAAUUAGUAUAAAUAAAUAAUAUGAAAAUAAAACUUAAUAAAUAUAUAAAUAUAGUCCAUAUAUAUAUAUUAAUAAAAAAAAGUAAUAUAUAUAUAUAUAUUGGAAUAGUUAUAUUAUUAUACAGAAAUAUGCUUAA